UACGUAGGGCGCAAGCGUUAUCCGGAAUUAUUGGGCGUAAAGAGCUCGUAGGCGGUUUGUCGCGUCUGCGGUGAAAGUCCGGGGCUCAACUCCGGAUCUGCGGUGGGUACGGGCAGACUAGAGUGAUGUAGGGGAGACUGGAAUUCCUGGUGUAGCGGUGAAAUGCGCAGAUAUCAGGAGGAACACCGAUGGCGAAGGCAGGUCUCUGGGCAUUAACUGACGCUGAGGAGCGAAAGCAUGGGGAGCGAACAGG
rnacentral:rRNA from 1 species